GACGGAGGGUGCUAGCGUUGUUCGGAAUCACUGGGCGUAAAGGGCGCGUAGGCGGCGGGUCAAGUCGGUUGGUGAACGCCCGGGGCUCAACCCCGGAGGUGCGGCCGAUACUGAUCUGCUCGAGGCCGGAAGAGGAGGGUGGAAUACCCAGUGUAGAGGUGAAAUUCGUAGAUAUUGGGUGGAACACCGGUGGCGAAAGCGGCUCUCUGGUCCGGUCCUGACGCUGAGGCGCGAAAGCGUGGGGAGCAAACAGG
rnacentral:rRNA from 1 species